CGGUGAUUGCAACGUGGGAAAGCCUGACGGAGCCACGCCGCGUGAGUGAUGAACGGCUUCGGAUCGGAAAACUCUGUUGUUAGGGAAGAACAAAUGUGUUACUAACUGUGCACGUCUUGACGGUACCUAAUCAGAAAGCCACGGCUAACUACAUGCCAGCAGCCGCGGUAAUAA
rnacentral:rRNA from 1 species